UACGAAGGGGGCUAGCGUUGUUCGGAAUUACUGGGCGUAAAGGGCGCGUAGGCGGCUUUGCAAGACAGAUGUGAAAUCCCCGGGCUCAACCUGGGAACUGCAUUUGUGACUGCAAGGCUAGAGUACGGUAGAGGGGGAUGGAAUUCCGCGUGUAGCAGUGAAAUGCGUAGAUAUGCGGAGGAACACCGAUGGCGAAGGCAAUCCCCUGGACCUGUACUGACGCUCAUGCACGAAAGCGUGGGGAGCAAACAGG
rnacentral:rRNA from 1 species